AUCCAGAUGACAAGUCCCAAAUAAGACGAAAUGCGAAUUGUGGAU
rnacentral:hammerhead_ribozyme from 1 species